GGGGAUGCCCACUUUAUGUCUUGUAAUAAUCAGGGUGGUCAGAGUGCUUCCUUUAUCACUACUUUCCAAAAGAAAGAAAAACUGUUGAAGCACGCGUCAAAAUAAGUCUGAAAGAAGAAUUAAUAAUGCAUGUGACGAUGGGGCCCAAAAGAGUACCCGACUUGCAUUAUUAAAGAUUCUUUCUUAUCUCUUAUCUUUAAGUGUCGGCCACAUGUGUUUAG
rnacentral:lncRNA from 1 species